rnacentral:rRNA from 1 species
UGGGGAAUAUUGGGCAAUGGGGGCAACCCUGACCCAGCGACGCCGCGUGGGGGAAGACGGCCUUCGGGUUGUAAACCUCUUUUGUACGGGAAGAAGGAAGUGACGGUACUGUACGAAUAAGUCCCGGCUAACUACGUGCCAGCAGCCGCGGUAAUACGUAGGGGACGAGCGUUGUCCGGAAUUACUGGGCGUAAAGGGCGCGCAGGCUGUGCUGCAAGUCAGCUGUUAAAUGUCUGGGCUUAACCCGGGCAUGCGGUUGAGACUGCGGUGCUGGAGUGCUGUAGAGGGAAGUGGAAUUCCCGGUGUAGCGGUGAAAUGCGUAGAUAUUGGGAAGAACACCGGUGGCGAGGGCGACUUGCUGGGCAGCAACUGACGCUGAGGCGCGAAAGCCAGGGGAGCAAACGGG